rnacentral:rRNA from 1 species
GCAGCGGAGCGUGUGGUUUAAUUCGAUGUUACGCGAAAACCUUACCCGGGCUUGACAUGCAGGUAGUAGGGAACCGAGAGGGGACCGACUCUUCGGAGAGCCUGCACAGGUGCUGCAUGGCUGUCGUCAGCUCGUGCCGUGAGGUGUCCGGUUAAGUCCGGUAACGAGCGCAACCCUCGCCAUAUGUUACAAGUGUCAUAUGGGACUGCCGAUAUAAAGUCGGAGGAAGGUGGGAUGACGUCAAGUCAGCAUGGCCUUUAUGUCCGGGGCUACACACACGCUACAAUGGCCGGUACAAUAGGUAGCAAGACCGCGAGGUGGAGCCAAUCCUUAAAGCCGGUCUCAGUUCAGAUUGCAGGCUGCAAUUCGCCUGCAUGAAGUCGGAAUUGCUAGUAAUCGCAGGUCAGCAUACUGCGGUGAAUACGUUCCCGGGCCUU